rnacentral:rRNA from 1 species
UAUAUGUUGGUGGAGGGUGUCGCGGUAAUACGUAGGUGGGUAAGGGGUGCCGGAAUUAAUGAGCGUAAGUCCCGAACAGGAGGAUCGUUAAGUCUGUUGUGAAAGCCCACGGCGCAACCGUGGAGGGUCAUUGGAAACUGGGGAACUUGAGUGCAGAAGAGGAGAGCGGAAUGCCACGUGUAGCGGUGAAAUGCGUAGAGAUGUGGAGGAACACCAGUGGCGAAGGCGUCUCUCUGGUCUGUAACUGACGCUGAGGCGCGAAAGCGUGGGGAGCGAACAGGAUUAGAUACCCGAGUAGUC